UGGAUGUAUCUGGAGUGAGGAGGAAUAAUGGUCCUUUUAGCAAGAGUGCUUUCUAUGUCAUAAAACACGCCUGAUUACAUUUUACAAAGCCUUCACGGUCAAGCCAAAUGUGCCUUUUUACAGACAGUUCAGUAAACAUUGUAUGUAUGUGUGAAUACAAACAUGCUUGUGUAGGUGGCUGUGAUGUAUGUGUCCAUCUGGUUAUGUGCAUGUGUGUGGGUGCUCAUGGAAGCCAGAAGUUGACUGGGCAUCUUACUCAGUCACCUCCCAUCUUAUUUUUGGAAGCAGGGUCUCUCACUGGACCUGGACCUCACUAGUUUCACUAGGCUGCCUGGUCAAUGGGCUCCUGAAAUCUCCCCGCAGUCCCCACCCCCACUGCUGGGAUUACAGAUACACAUUGCACCCUGCUUUUUACACUGGUUCUGGGGAGCCGAUUUUAGGUCCUCAUGCUGGCAUGGCAGGCAAUUUACCAGCUGACCCAUCUCCCCAGGGCCUCUUUUGAUGGAGUCUCGUCUGUUUUAAGAUACAUGAUGUCAGGAGAUGUUCCCAGUGCCCUCCAGGUAGACAUGGUACUGACCCAGGGCAGCUUAAAACACUUGUGUGGCGGGCUGGAGAGAUGGCUCAGUGGUUAAGAACACCCGACUGUUCUUCCAGAGGUCAUGAGUUCAAUUCCCAGCAACCACAUGGUGGCUCACAACCAUCUGUAAAGAGAUCCGAUGCCCUCUUCUGGUGUAUCUGAAGACAGCUACAGUGUACUUAUAUAUAAUAAAUAAAAUAAAUCUUUA
rnacentral:lncRNA from 1 species